GAUGAACGCUGGCGGCGUGCUUAACACAUGCAAGUCGAACGGUGAAGGCGGAGCUUGCUCUGCUGGAUCAGUGGCGAACGGGUGAGUAACACGUGAGCAAUCUGCCUCUGACUCUGGGAUAAGCGCUGGAAACGGCGUCUAAUACUGGAUACGAGCUGCGAAGGCAUCUUCAGCAGCUGGAAAGAACUUCGGUCAGGGAUGAGCUCGCGGCCUAUCAGCUUGUUGGUGAGGUAACGGCUCACCAAGGCGUCGACGGGUAGCCGGCCUGAGAGGGUGACCGGCCACACUGGGACUGAGACACGGCCCAGACUCCUACGGGAGGCAGCAGUGGGGAAUAUUGCACAAUGGGCGAAAGCCUGAUGCAGCAACGCCGCGUGAGGGACGACGGCCUUCGGGUUGUAAACCUCUUUUAGCAGGGAAGAAGCGAAAGUGACGGUACCUGCAGAAAAAGCGCCGGCUAACUACGUG
rnacentral:rRNA from 1 species